rnacentral:rRNA from 1 species
AACGAACGCUGGCGGCGGGCCUCAUACAUGCAAGUCGAGCGCGAAAGUCCGCAAGGAUGAGUAAAGCGGCGCACGGGUGAGUAACACGUGGAUAAUCUACCCUUUGGAUUGGAAUAACCUGUCGAAAGACGGGCUAAUGCCGAGUAAGCUCUCGGGAGCGUGAAGCUCUUGCGAGGAAAGAUGGCGCAAGCUAUCGCCGAUGGAUGAGUCUGCGUCCCAUUAGUUAGUUGGUGAGGUAACAGCUUACCAAGACGAUGAUGGGUACCUGGUCUGAGAGGAUGAUCAGGCACACUGGAACUGAAACACGGUCCAGACUCCUACGGGAGGCAGCAGUAGGGAAUAUUGCGCAAUGGACGAAAGUCUGACGCAGCCACGCCGCGUGAGUGAGGAAGGCCUUCGGGUUGUAAAGCUCUGUCAUCCGGGAAAAACGGCUAUCUGGGGAAAGUUCAGGUAGCGUGAUGGUACCGGAGGAGGAAGCACCGGCAAACUCUGUGCCAGCAGCCGCGGUAAUACAGAGGGUGCAAGCGUUGUUCGGAAUUACUGGGCGUAAAGCGUGCGUAGUCGGUAUUGAGAGUCACGGGUGAAAUCCCAGGGCUUAACCCUGGAACUGCCUGUGAGACCUCAGUACUAGAGUGUGAGAGGGGAUAGUGGAAUACCCAGUGUAGCGGUGAAAUGCGUAGAGAUUGGGUGGAACACCGGUGGCGAAGGCGGCUAUCUGGCUCACAACUGACGAUCAGGCACGAAAGCGUGGGGAGCAAACAGG